GAAGGUAUAGCUCAAGUGGUAGAGCGCACACUUAACAUGCAUGAGGUCCUGGGUUCAAUCCCCAGUACCACCA
rnacentral:tRNA from 1 species